AUGCUGCUGCUGGCAGCGCUUGUGGCCACAGCCAUCUGGUCUUAUGGAUUUACACAAGAAAUUCCUGUGCAGAGCCCUAUUUCCAUCACCAAAUUCCAAAAAAGUGCACGGAUGACAUGUGAAAUUCAAACAUUAGGGGAACGUUUUGACAGCACCGUCAUACACUGGUAUCAACAGAAGGAGGGUAAAGCUCCAGAGAGGCUACUGUUCUUUUCAGGAGGGGAAGUUUCAGUUGAAAGUGGCUUUAAAGCAAACAGGUACAUGGUUGAAAGGGUUUCUGGCCAGAAACGGUGUGUUCUUACGAUAAAAGAUGUAAUUCCAGAUGAUGCUGCUACUUACUACUGCGCCUACUGGGACCCUCACUGUGAUGGAAACUCAAACAUCAUUGAUGCAAAAAAAACCUCCAAACCCCGCCUCAACAUCUGA